CCGCCGGUUCCUACCAGAGCCUACGCCAGCCCCGCCCGCCGCCUGCCAAACCUCAGGCUCCGGCUGGCACCGCCCAGCAGGAAAGCCACCAGACUAGGAAUGCUGUCUACUGUGCGAUCAUCCUCACAGAGUUUGUCAAGGAGCUUUCCGCCAUCGUGCAAGAGCACUCCGUCACCCCUCCUCUACAGCUGGAGGAGAUAACCCACCAUACUGUGAAGGAGAUAGACCACGAAGUGUUUGGGAAGGCUUUCGAGUUAGAAACAGAAGAAACAAGGGGAGAGAAGGCAGGAGACAGUGGCAGAGAGGAGGAAGUUGAAAUCACUGUGACCACUGUUUGAUGUAAAGUGUAUGAUAGCUAAAAUUACUGUGUCUGCCUCCUAGCUUUGAAUAAACACACAUGUAAAUCUGGAAGCUGGGAAAGGAUUAUGUAGAGGUAGAUUGAUAGGGACUUUUUUGGCAAUGCCCCUGGGGUGGGGCCUGUUUUACCUGUAUGCUUUUUGGAAGGGAGGGUGUGAAGUAGUUUCAAUCCUUUGCCUUUCUCAUUCUUUCAUAAAUGGCAAAAAUUCCUGUCUAGUCUUAAAUAUUGAGAAGCAGCACAGAGAUAUUUUGUAUCCGACUCAAAGUGAAAAUGUACAUGAAAUUUGUAAGACUGGGUGAAGAUGUUAUGCAAUGGAUGUUAACGAUAAAACCUCUGGACCUUGAAUGGAUACCACAAACAUUAUCAUCAUUUUAGAGUGCUCAUACAUUUAUCUUCUUAGGAAAAAAGUUUAGAAAUGUAUUGUGUCAGACUUAAGAAUUUCCAUCAUGC